rnacentral:piRNA from 1 species
CUCCAGAUUAAAAAUGUCCUAAGUUAGAGC